AGAAUUUAAUUUUCGACUAUAAAAAGCGAAUCAGCUAAAUUGUAAUUCUCAUUCACAUUCAUUCAUUUGAUUUGAUAACAUUUGAAAUCAGCUUAGUGCAGUAAUUUGUUGAUUCUGUUUCAUUUUUGGAUAACCAAAGGAUAACCAACUAAACAAUCAAAAUGCGUUCAAUUACAAUCUGUUGUUUAAUCGCCGCUGUGAUGAUCAUUCUCGUCACUUUCACUCCAAGCGGAAGUGAAGCCUCCCGAAGGAAAAUCAUGAAGAUCAAAAAACUCGCUGCUCUUGCCCUUCUUCUUAAGUCCAAGAAAAAGUACAUCUUCCCAAUUCCACUUCCUCUUCCUCUCCCAGUUCCAGUUCUCAAGAAAACUGUCCAAGCCUGGCCUGAACCUUCAUGGCCCGAACCAUCAUGGCCUAGCAGUGACUCUUGGUCUCAACCCCAAGCUGGUUGGUGGUAAAUUAGAUGAUAAAUUCUGAUCAUGAUUAUUAAAUUAAUCUCUUGAUCCCUUCGAUAUCAUCAGCUGAUUAUUAGGUCAUUAAAAUUUUUAUUUGUAAAUAUAAAUUUUCAUUAAGAUGAUUAAAGAUAACUGGAUUAUCUAAAUAUCAUUAAAUCUGAUGCCUUUCAUUUUA